CGGGGGAUAUUGCACAAUGGGCGAAAGCCUGAUGCAGCGACGCCGCGUGGGGGAUGAAGGCCUUCGGGUUGUAAACUUCUUUUGCUCUGAACAAGGCAUGCUAAUGGGUGUGUUGAGUGUAGGGGUUGAUUAGCGCCGGCUAACUACGUGCCAGCAGCCGCGGUAAUACGUAGGGCGCGAGCGUUGUCCGGAAUUAUUGGGCGUAAAGGGCUUGUAGGUGGCUGGUUGCGUCUGUCGUGAAAGCUCAUGGCUUAACUGUGGGUUUGCGGUGGGUACGGGCUGGCUUGAGUGCAGUAGGGGAGGCUGGAAUUCCUGGUGUAGCGGUGGAAUGCGCAGAUAUCAGGAGGAAUACCGGUGGCGAAGGCGGGUCUCUGGGCUGUUACUGACACUGAGGAGCGAAAGCAUGGGGAGCGAACAGG
rnacentral:rRNA from 1 species